GGGGGCCCGCAAGCGGUGGAGCAUGUGGUUUAAUUCGAUGCAACGCGAAAAACCUUACCUGGUCUUGACAUCCAUAGAAUUUGAUAGAAAUAUCAAAGUGCCUUCGGGAACUAUGAGACAGGUGCUGCAUGGCUGUCGUCAGCUCGUGUUGUGAAAUGUUGGGUUAAGUCCCGCAACGAGCGCAACCCUUAUCCUUUGUUGCCAUCAGGUAAAGCUGGGAACUCAAAGGAGACUGCCGGUUAUAAACCGGAGGAAGGUGGGGACGACGUCAAGUCAUCAUGGCCCUUACGACCAGGGCUACACACGUGCUACAAUGGUAUAUACAAAGAGAUGCAACUCUGCAAGGAUAAGCAAACCUCAUAAAGUGUAUCGUAGUCCGGACUGGAGUCUGCAACUCGACUCCACGAAGUCGGAAUCGCUAGUAAUCGUGGAUCAGAAUGCCACGGUGAAUACGUUCCCGGGGCCUUGUACACACC
rnacentral:rRNA from 1 species